rnacentral:rRNA from 1 species
AUUGAACGCUGGCGGCAGGCCUAACACAUGCAAGUCGAGCGGCAGCGGGAAAGUAGCUUGCUACUUUUGCCGGCGAGCGGCGGACGGGUGAGUAAUGCCUGGGAAAUUGCCCAGUCGAGGGGGAUAACAGUUGGAAACGACUGCUAAUACCGCAUGCGCCCUACGGGGGAAAGCAGGGGACCUUCGGGCCUUGCGCGAUUGGAUAUGCCCAGGUGGGAUUAGCUAGUUGGUGAGGUAAUGGCUCACCAAGGCGACGAUCCCUGGCUGGUCUGGGAGGAUGAUCAGCCACACUGGAACUGAGACACGGUCCAGACUCCUACGGGAGGCAGCAGUGGGGAAUAUUGCACAAUGGGGGAAACCCUGAUGCAGCCAUGCCGCGUGUGUGAAGAAGGCCUUCGGGUUGUAAAGCACUUUCAGCGAGGAGGAAAGGUCAGUAGCUAAUAUCUGCUGACUGUGACGUUACUCGCAGAAGAAGCACCGGCUAACUCCGUGCCAGCCGCCGCAGUAAGAC